rnacentral:rRNA from 1 species
UACGGAGGAUGCGAGCGUUAUCCGGAUUUAUUGGGUUUAAAGGGUGCGUAGGUUGUUUUUUAAGUCAGCGGUGAAAGUUUGUGGCUCAACCAUAAAAUUGCCGUUGAAACUGACACCCUUGAGUGAGUGAGAAGUAAGCGGAAUGCGUGGUGUAGCGGUGAAAUGCAUAGAUACCACGCAGAACGCCGAUUGCGAAGGCAGCUUACCGGCGCUCAACUGACGCUGAGGCACGAAAGUGCGGGUAUCGAACAGG